UGCAGUCGAACGCGACGGCUCUUCGGAGCUUAUUAGAGUGGCGAAAGGGCGAGGAAUACUUGGGUAACGUACCCUACACACCGGGAUAGCUGUGGGAAACUACAGAUAAUACUGGAUGAGACCACGGCUCGUAAGAGCUGUGCUCAAAGGGCGGGGAUCUCUUCGGAGACCCGUUGGUGUUGGAGCGGCCCAAGUCCUAUCAGGUUGUUGGUGAGGUAAUGGCUCACCAAGCCUACGACGGGUACCGGGACUGAGAGGUUGAUCCGGCGCAUUGGGACUGAGACACUGCCCAGACUCCUACGGGAGGCUGCAGUAACGAAUAUUGGACAAUGAGCGAAAGCUUGAUCCAGCGACGCCGCGUGUAGGAUGAAGUCCCUCGGGAUGUAAACUACUGUCAGGGACUACCAAGCAAAGACUGUUAAUACCGGUCUGCGUUGAGGAAUCCCAGAGGAAGCCACGGCUAACUUCGUGCCAGCAGCCGCGGUAAUACG
rnacentral:rRNA from 1 species